CCUACGGGAGGCUGCAGUGGGGAAUAUUGGGCAAUGGGCGAAAGCCUGACCCAGCAACGCCGCGUGAAGGAAGAAGGCUCUCGGGUUGUAAACUUCUUUUGACAGGGAAGAGCAGAAGACGGUACCUGUCGAAUAAGCCACGGCUAACUACGUGCCAGCAGCCGCGGUAAUACGGAGGUGGCAAGCGUUGUCCGGAUUUACUGGGGGUAAAGGGCGUGUAGCCGGGCUGACAAGUCAGAUGUGCAAUCCGGGGGCUCAACCCCCGAACUGAAUUUGAAACUGUUGGUCUUGAGUAUCGGAGAGGCAGGCGGAAUUCCUAGUGUAGCGGUGAAAUGCGUAGAUAUUAGGAGGAACACCAGUGGCGAAGGCGGCCUGCUGGACGACAACUGACGGUGAGGCGCGAAAGCGUGGGGAGCAAACAGGAUUAGAUACCCCAGUAGUC
rnacentral:rRNA from 1 species